GCAUGGCAAUGGAUUUAUGGUGGGAUGUGAUCAGUGAUCCCCUCAUAGUGUACCCCAUGCUAGAGAGACCUACUGCUCCGAACCAUUGGUGGGCGCUGCCACUGUGUGCCCAACCACUGAAGUGAGCCGUACAGAU